CAGUAGCCGCGGGAAUACGUUGGUGGCAAGCGUUGUCCGAAAUUAUUGGGCGUAAAGGGCUCGCAGGCGGUUUCUUAAGUCUGAUGUGAAAGCCCCCGGCUCAACCGGGGAGGGUCAUUGGAAACUGGGAAACUUGAGUGCAGAAGAGGAGAGUGGAAUUCCACGUGUAGCGGUGAAAUACGUAGAGAUGUGGAGGAACACCAACGGCGAAAGCACUCUGCUGGGCCGACACUGACACUGAGAGACGAAAGCUAGGGGAGCAAAUGGGAUUAGAUACCCCCGUAGUCCCUGUCUCUUAUAA
rnacentral:rRNA from 1 species